UGGGGAAUUUUGGACAAUGGGGGAAACCCUGAUCCAGCCAUCCCGCGUGUGCGAUGAAGGCCUUCGGGUUGUAAAGCACUUUUGGCAGGAAAGAAACGUCAUGGGUUAAUACCCCGUGAAACUGACGGUACCUGCAGAAUAAGCACCGGCUAACUACGUGCCAGCAGCCGCGGUAAUACGUAGGGUGCAAGCGUUAAUCGGAAUUACUGGGCGUAAAGCGUGCGCAGGCGGUUCGGAAAGAAAGAUGUGAAAUCCCAGAGCUCAACUUUGGAACUGCAUUUUUAACUGCCGGGCUAGAGUGUGUUAGAGGGAGGUGGAAUUCCGCGUGUAGCAGUGAAAUGCGUAGAUAUGCGGAGGAACACCGAUGGCGAAGGCAGCCUCCUGGGAUAACACUGACGCUCAUGCACGAAAGCGUGGGGAGCAAACAGG
rnacentral:rRNA from 1 species